CACUUCUAAGGAAGGCAGCAGGCGCGCAAAUUACCCAAUCCUGACUCAGGGAGGUAGUGACAAGAAAUAACAAUAAACCGGCUUAUGCCGGUUUAAUUGGAAUGAGUACAAUUUAAACAUCUUAACGAGGAACAAUUGGAGGGCAAGUCUGGUGCCAGCAGCCGCGGUAAUUCCGGCUCCAAUAGCGUAUACUAAAGUUGUUGCAGUUAAAAAGCUCGUAGUUGGAUUUCUGUGGGGACGGAGCGGCCGGCCGCAACACGCGGUUCGAGCUAGCGCUUUCCCUACAUCCUGCCGCGAACCGUGCUACCAUUAGUUUGGUGGCGCCGGGGAUCGGCUCGAUUACUUUGAGAAAAAUAGAGUGUUCAAAGCAGGCCGCACGCCUUGAAUAAGUUAGCAUGGAAUAAUAACUAAGGACUUCGGUUCUAUUUUGUUGGUGUUCGGGACUGAAGUAAUGAUUGAUAGGGACAGUUGGGGCGGUCUGUAUUCCAAAGCGAGAGGUGAAAUUCUUAGACCUUCGGAAGACAAACAGCUGCGAAAGCGUUCCGCAAGGAUGUUCCCUUUGAUCAAGAACGAAAGUUGGGGGAUCGAAGACGAUCAGAUACCGUCGUAGUCUCAACUAUAAACUAUACCAGCUAGGGAUCGGCCAACGUUAUUCUAUACCGACUUGGUCGGCACCUUAUGAGAAAUCAAAGCAUCUGGGUUCCGGGGGGAGUAUGGUCGCAAGGCUGAAACUUAAAGGAAUUGACGGAAGGGCACCACCAGCCGUGGAGCCUGUGGCUUAAUUUGACUCAACACGGGAAAACUUACCAGGUCCAGACAUAGUAAGGAUUGACAGAUUGAUAGCUCUUUCUUGAUUCUGUGGGUGGUGGUGCAUGGCCGGUCUUAGUUGGUGGAGUGAUUUGUCUGGUUAAUUCCGUUAACGAACGAGACCCCAGCCUGCUAAAUAGCGCGUGUGAGCUUUGCUCGCAGCGAGCUUCUUAGAGGGACUAUGAUGCGCGAUAGCACAUGGAAGUUUGGGGCAAUAACAGGUCUGUGAUGCCCUUAGAUGUUCUGGGCCGCACACGGGCUACACUGGCGCCUGCAACGAGCAUAUCAGCUGGCCCGAGAGGGUCUUGGCUAAUCUUUUGAACCGGCGCCGUGCUUGGGAUUGACCUUUGCAAUUGUUGGUCAUGCAACGAGGAAUGCCUUGUAAACGCGAGUCAUCAGCUCGCAUUGAAUACGUCCCUGCCCUUUGUACACACCGCCCGUCGCUCCUACCGAUGAAUGUUCCGAUGAAAUUUUCGGAGAGUGCCUGUGAACUUGGCUCUGCCUUGCGAUCGGGAAGCUCAAAGUCACUUAAAUCUGAACAUUUCGAGG
rnacentral:rRNA from 1 species